AAGGCGAUCGUUGUAUAAUUGGCGUUAGACGCAGAACUCGUGAGCAAUCGAUAAUUAUUAUUUUUACUCUGAGCGUGAGUCCAUUCAGUUAUUGUUGAUCAACAGUUAAGCAAAAAUAUAAUUGGAAGAAGAGCAUAUAAAUUAAAGAGACUUGCUCUCCCGUGUUAAUCGACGAAAGAUAUCGGACCAAAUUUUUUAUUAACACGGGGCGGUAAUUACUGUAACGUGUCGAAUGUCAGUCAUCUGGAAGAUGACACAACAGGAAGUAGCUUGUAACGUUUCACGAGGCUCGUUCGACUUUAUUCGGAAUUGUCAUCGAAGUCAUAUCUCUUGAAACGCUGCUACAUGAUCGAUAAUGAAUAUUAAUCGCGUAAAACGGAGCGUAGGAAGUGCAACACUUAGAAACAGGCAUUUCAAAACGUACAAUGUAGGUCAUACAUAUUCAACAAAGUGUAGCUAGAACUGAUUGGAUACUUUGACGUCCCAUCUAAUUAGAAACACACGGAGCGCUGUUUAAUGAGAAUAAAUUACAUCGAUCACUGCAAACACGGUUUGCUAUUAAAUCGCUGCAGAAUAUCCCGUGUGAAUAAGACGUAGAACUAUGCCUGGAUAUUUUUACGAGUGACGACGACCAAGAUGCCUUGAACAAAAGGAACAACGCAUCGCUGAUUGAUUUAUUCGUUCUUCGGUAUUCAAGACGGAAAGAUUUAUAACUCCUGAUACCACAUUAGCAACCAUUCAUCCUGCUCGCUAUCAAGAAUUGUCCGUUCAGUAACACAACUUGCGACUCAAUCACAUUCAGCUCCAUAAGUUCUACAGGUUACAUUCGGUGGAUCAAUGCAACAGCAAACAGCAUAUGCGUUACUAAAUAUUAGUACUAGCUUUAGCAUUUCAUUAUGUAUAAGUUAGUUAACAAUUAUAGAAAAGUGUAACGUAUUUAAUUGUUAGUUUUGUAUCUUUAGUUAAGGUUACUAGUUAUAUAAGAAAUUAUGUAUUUAAUUA